rnacentral:rRNA from 1 species
UUAAGCAUCCAUACCACGUUGAAUACACCGGUUCUCGUCCGAUCACUGAAGUUAGGUAAUGUCAGGCGCGGUCAGUACUUAUAUGGGUGACUGCCUGGGUACACCGCAUGACGGCUUUUU